GACGAACCGUGCGAACGUUGUUCGGAAUCACUGGGCUUAAAGGGCGCGUAGGCGGCUCCGCAAGUCGGGGGUGAAAUCUUUCGGCUUAACCGGAAAAGUGCCUCUGAUACUGCGGAGCUCGAGGGAGGUAGGGGCGGACGGAACUUCCGGUGGAGCGGUGAAAUGCGUUGAUAUCGGAAGGAACGCCGGUGGCGAAAGCGGUCCGCUGGCCCUCUACUGACGCUGAGGCGCGAAAAGCCAGGGGGAGCAAACGGG
rnacentral:rRNA from 1 species